UGGAGCAUGUGGCUUAAUCGAAGCAACGCGAAGAACCUUACCAGGUCUUGACAUACUCGUGCUAUUCCUAGAGAUAGGAAGUCCUUCGGGACACGGGAUACAGGUGGUGCAUGGUUGUCGUCAGCUCGUGUCGUGAGAUGUUGGGUUAAGUCCCGCAACGAGCGCAACCCCUAUUGUUAGUUGCCAUCAUUAAGUUGGGCACUCUAACGAGACUGCCGGUGAUAAACCGGAGGAAGGUGGGGAUGACGUCAAAUCAUCAUGCCCCUUAUGACCUGGGCUACACACGUGCUACAAUGGAUGGUACAACGAGUCGCGAGACAGUGAUGUUUAGCUAAUCUCUUAAAACCAUUCUCAGUUCGGAUUGUAGGCUGCAACUCGCCUACAUGAAGUCGGAAUCGCUAGUAAUCGCGGAUCAGCACGCCGCGGUCGAAUACGUUCCCGGGCCUU
rnacentral:rRNA from 1 species